rnacentral:lncRNA from 1 species
UUUGUUUGUUUUUUUUUUUUUUAAACUUGUGUUGUUAUGCUGUUGUAGGUAUUCUGAAUCCAAUGGCUCGUACAAAGGGUAAAGGAAAGGUCGAUGGUAUAUUUUUUGUUCAUUUACAAUGCUCCUCCUAUUCGUAUUUGUUCUCUUACUACAUUAUAAUAACAUGUUAUGACAAAUUUGUGAAUUUGUAGAUGACACCUCACCCGUUAAAAAGACUAAAUGAGUAAUGCAAGGGUCGUCGUCUGAAC